rnacentral:rRNA from 1 species
GAUGAACGCUGGCGGCGUGCCUAAUACAUGCAAGUCGAGCGAAUGGAUUAAGAGCUUGCUCUUAUGAAGUUAGCGGCGGACGGGUGAGUAACACGUGGGUAACCUGCCCAUAAGACUGGGAUAACUCCGGGAAACCGGGGCUAAUACCGGAUAACAUUUUGAACCGCAUGGUUCGAAAUUGAAAGGCGGCUUCGGCUGUCACUUAUGGAUGGAACCGCGUCGCAUUAGCUAGUUGGUGAGGUAACGGCACACCAAGGCAACGAUGCGGAGCCGACCUGAGAGGGUGAUCGGCCACACUGGGACUGAGACACGGCCCAGACUCCUACGGGAGGCAGCAGUAGGGAAUCUUCCGCAAUGGACGAAAGUCUGACGGAGCAACGCCGCGUGAGUGAUGAAGGCUUUCGGGUCGUAAAACUCUGUUGUUAGGGAAGAACAAGUGCUAGUUGAAUAAGCUGGCACCUUGACGGUACCUAACCAGAAAGCCACGGCUAACUACGUGCCAGCCGCCGCAGUAA